rnacentral:rRNA from 1 species
AUGAGAACCUUGUGCUAGAACUGUUGUGGGAUUGGCGACCCUGCGACAGUACAGGAGCUCCGCGACCUGGUGGAGGCUAGUGCGUCGUCGGUACUUUGCAUUGUGGAGACCCAAAUAGCGAAGAACCGAGUGGAGGGUUUGGCGGCUUCUUUAGGUUUUCAAGGUAGUUUUGCAGUAGCUAGUAGCGGAAGAAGUGGUGGGCUUUGUAUAUUCUGGAAAUCAGAUGUUUAG